GUGGGAUGAUGCAGCACCAGAAUCUCUGCUUCAAAUUCCCAGGAGGCUUGUGGAUUCAGCCGGGGGGACACCAUCACCAUGCCUUUCCGGAUGGAGGAACGCUUGAUCUAAGGAGGAAACAGAAAAAAAGACAAGAACUGGAAGAGGAAGACAAGUUUUCAUACUCUUUCAACUUCCAAUUGACUUCUCAACUUUGAAUGAAUUAGUCAAAAUGAAGAAAAUAUUAUUUCCUGAUUGCAGAAGAGGCUACUAGUGUCAAAAGCUGGUUUAGCACUUCAAUACACUCUGGUUCCUGGUGCUUAGCUAGUGACUUCCACCAAUUCAGUGGUGGGACUCAAAGUUCAGCCAGCAUGUACUGCUUGAAUGGUUUACUUCCAACUCUGAAAUUUAUUAUGGUUGGCAUGAUUGAGGGGUGAUUACUGGAUGCCCAAGUCAUAGCAGCAUCUUCUUCAGCAGUUGGGCAUCUGUCCUGGAACUCUGAAUUGAAAAUACUGGCAAGAAAGAGGUGGAGUAGGUGCUUGAUCCAUCCACUUCUUUACUGCCGAAAAUUUAACUUUGUUGCCGGGUAUUUCUUUCUUCAAUGUCUCUUGACGUUCUUUCCAAAUUUCAACAGCAUCAGCAAUACAGCGGCAAUCUUUCUGCAGUUUGCUCAAGGCUAUACUGAAACCUAUUUCCAUAUUCAGCAUAUCUUCUACAGUUCUCUUUAGUCCAAAUGUUAACUACACUGGCUGUGAGAGUUCCAUCUACUGUGUUAUGAUUUUCUUCAAAAAGUUAUCAGAAGAGGCCAAUUUUUAAUUAAUAGCUCAAAACAGUCAACCCUGAAUUCCAUCACACAUUUUGGGGGAGAAUUAGUUUCAUCCUCAUGCUUUGUUCAGUGAAGCUGAAGCACAGUGGUUGUUAUGAAGUUUUCCGCAAUGGCAGAAGUGUUUUCCUUUAUUCCAAAAGUUGUACUUAAGUCUUUGCUAAAACACGCAAUCAAGGACCAUUGCACACCCAUAUGUUAUAAGUUUGAGGUUCCCUUCAUUAUCUUCUUCUAGACUUCUCAUCUUUGCUACAUUUGCAGCAUUGUCUGCAACAAAGCUAUGUGCUCAACUGUUUAAUUUUUGUUCUGUUUGUUACAGCUUUUACUCCUACUUUAAGUAUUCUGCUGAAAAGGCAUUUCCUGAUGUGUCAAUGUCUGUAAAAUAACAUAAGAUGGGGUUGUUGUCUGUCACACAAAAACAAAUUACUGGAUCAUUGCAUAUAUUGGUCCAUACAUCAAGACGCACAUUACCAAGUUUCCCGGUCAAUGUUUUUUUUUUUGCACACUCUUUUCUCAUACUGUAUUCAACAACCUUUCAACAAUGUCUGCUCGGCCAGGUGCAGUGCAGCCUGGUUGUAAUGACUGAACUAUGUCAAAUGAAGUGUUUGCUUUGAACAAGCCGAAAUGAAGAAUUUAUUGCAUAAAUGAACCAAGCAAUCUUUAAUCUAUGGAGUCAUUUUAUCUUGCUGGAAUUUGCUGGUCCUGCUUAUGAACUCAUCUAUGCAUUUCUUAACGCAGUUAAUUUACCGUCUGACAUGUUUAGUUGCAGCACUCCUGGUGGUAUCAGCAGGUAACUUUCAAGUUAUAGACAUUGCAGAUGGAUAUUCAUAACUCCUUAUACCUAAACUGGACCCUGAAACAAAAUGGUUAAAAAAAAGGGGGGGUCACUCGCUCACUGAUUACUGCUGAGUGCACUGCUUUAAAAAAAAAUUGUAAAUGAACAAUUCUGUCUACUACUAUUUGUACCACUGUUUAAAUGACAGUUUAUUUUACAUCCAGCCUUAUCGAGAAAAUAAAUCAAAGGAUUAUCUAAAUCUAUUUAAACCCUUAUCUUUAACAACAUACCAAACAAAUUUUAAAAAAGGUUAAGUGCUAAAAUUCAUAAAUGCCCAAUCAAACUUUAAA